AGGAGGCAGUGGUGCGGUACCCCGAGCUGUGUCAAUGGAGAGAUGAGGCAGCGGCAGCAGUUGAGUUGUAACAGUGAUCGAGGGAGGAGGGACGCCGCUUGCGCUCCUGAUCUCAUCUCUCCACGUGUGUUAAGUGUGUUUGGUUAUCUUUGUCACUAAUCUUGUGCCAGAAAACAGGAAGAUAUGUGCACUAGAAACUCGAGUGAGCCAAGUGCCUCGCUGUAGGGGAGUCAGGCUCAAGAGAAAAUUUUUCUGACUAGUGAAGAGUACGUAAAUGUUUGUUUACCUCCGUUUUGUGCUGCAUUUUGUUGACAACAUCAGUGUGUUGAUAAAGAACAGUGUGAAAGUGUGUGCUCAAGUGUACGUUGAUAACUUGUCACUCGUGCGUUGAUAGUCUGUGUGGGUCAAAGCCCUCAGCCAUGUACGGCAUUCGCCUCAACCCCGAGGGCCAACACGUCCAGCGCGGCACCACCACCUCUGCCCGCGACUCCCAGUCCCAGGCGGGGUCCAGGCAGUACCUGGGUAGCAAAAGGGUAACAGAGAACUACCAGUACGCGUCCUUCACGGAGUACAACAAUAACGAGGUUUUAUCUGGUAGUAGUAAUAGUAGUAGUAGUUUGCUGUCCGAAAGGAUGCUGCCUGAUGGUGGUGGCAUGCUGUCUAGGUCCACCUACUCCCGCAGCACUAUGCUGUCAGACACGCGCAUUGCUCACUCUGCAAUCAUUGGCAGCAGCACAAUGAGGAAGGAAACAGCGUCUAGCAGCGCCUUCAGCAGUACGGUGGGAAGCAGGCGCAUCAUGGGUCACACUCACUGCAGUGGGUCUACGCGAAUACCGGAUGUUUAUUUAGAGGCAGCUGAAGGCGGGGCUGAAUGUCAGUCUGUCCGCCUGCAGGAGGAAGAGGCUGAAUUCUGCAUAGGCGUGGGCAGCAGUCGGGAAAAUGGUCACCAGGGCGGGGCGAUGCGACGCUCCUUCUCCAAGUCCGCCAAUGACCUGCUACACCGAACACGCUCGCCUUCGGGGGAGAGGUCGAGUGAGCCGUCACCCAAGGGCUCGCCAACCCUGGGUACCCGUAAGGCGAAGGAGCAAGACAGACCCAGAGCCAACACUCAGCCCCGCCCCGCGCCCUCCUUCUUUACCACGUUCAAGAGAGUUAAAAAGAUGGCCGCCGAGUUCAAACUGAAGACUAAGUUCCAGCGGACCCUGAGCAAGGAGAGCAAGGUGGUGGCGCGGCGGAAAGACGUGCUGCUAGACGGUGUUCGGAGCAACUCCCACCCAGAUGUGAGUGUUGAGAGACAGGAUAGCACCACAGACUAUGCUGCAGACAACUCCUCAGCAGAACAGUCCUCCUCGGGGACACCCCUCACCAUGUCUCCUCGACGUGGUCCUCACCUUGCUUCCAGCAGGCACUACUCUAAUGAUCCUAAUACACUCUUUGAAAAUGGGGAAGACCCCACAGAGACUGAGUCUCGCAUUAUGGAGGAACUGCCUGAUGAACUACUGGCCUCUACUGAAGCAUCUCUUGAGCCAGAUACUAGUGGGGCACCAGGAGAGUCUGGAGAUCAGGGAGCCUCCAUAGCAUCAAACUUCUCCCCUCCCACACCUGCCCGUGCUGCUCACUUCAGCAUUGACACCGCAUCCCCAAGUUACCUCCUUGGGCGUGGGACAGAGAGCGACACCUCUCAGCAGCUGAUGUUGUGUGAGGGUGAGAGUGUGACGAUGGAUGCCCCCUCACCCCUCCAGGCCUCCUCCAGCACCAACACCACCAUCUGUGAGGUCUGGUCAAAGGAGGAUCCAGCUGUGCAGCGGCAGCGAGCCCUUCGCCAACACUCCUUUUUCCAGCUCCACAUCCACCUCAAGCGCGGCCAAGACCUGGUUGCCCGUGAUGCCUGCGGUAAGCUCCUCCCCCAAUACUCGUCCUACCAGUCAGGAGAAACUACAAGAGCAGGCACCAGUGAUCCCUAUGUGAAGUUCAAGGUUGCAGGGAAGCUUGCCUACAAAUCCAAGACAGUAUACAAAGAUCUGAAUCCCACAUGGGAUGAAUCAUUCACUGUGGGCAUAGAGGAUCCCUUUGAGCCUGUGUCAGUAAAGGUGUUUGACUAUGACUGGGGUCUGCAGGAUGACUUCAUGGGCUUAGCUACCAUUGAUCUCACCACCCUUGAUCUUGACAAGUGUACAGAUGUGGAGUUACCCCUCUCUGAGCCCCGUAAGGCAUCCCCACCCUACAUGGGCAAGCUGUACAUGAGCCUCACACUGCAGCCCAAGACCCAGGAGGAGAAAGAACAGUACCUCCAGCGCGGUGGGUCUCGCCUGGCGGAGCAGCAGCGGCGCUUGAAGAGUCAGAUAUGGAGCUCCGUGGUGACCAUCGUGUUGGUGGAGGGCAAGAACCUGCUGCCCAUGGACGCCGACGGCACUUCAGACCCAUACGUCAAGUUCAGACUCGGGAACGAAAAGUACAAGAGCAAAGCAGACCUGCACACACUCAACCCUAAGUGGCUGGAGCAGUUCGACUUCCACCAGUUUGAGGAUCAAAGCCAGUUCCUGGAGAUCACUGUGUGGGACAAGGACGUCAGGAGCAAGGAUGACUUUAUGGGCAGAUGCGUACUGGACAUCUCCAAGUAUGAAAAGGAGAAGACCCAUCAUAUCUGGGCACCACUUGACAAGGGUGCUGGCUCCGUCUUCAUCCUCCUCACAAUCUCUGGCAUCACUUCUUCUGAAACCAUAUCAGACCUCCACUCCUUUGAUGAUAACCCCAAGGAACUUGCAAACAUAGCUGCCAGUUAUAAAUGGACCAGAACGCUGCAAAAUGUGAAAGACGUUGGGUACUUGAGGGUGAAGGUAUUCCGGGCACAGGGCCUUGCCUCUGCAGAUAUUGGAGGCAAGAGUGACCCAUUCUGUGUGUUAGAGUUGGUCAAUGAUCGUCUCCAGACACAGACGGAGUACAAGACACUUUCUCCAAGCUGGAAUAAGAUAUUCAACUUCAAUGUUAAGGACAUACACAGCAUUCUGGAAGUGACAGUGUAUGAUGAGGACCGGGAUCAUAAAGUGGAAUUCUUAGGCAAAAUUGCAAUUCCAUUAUUAAGGGUCAGGAAUGGAGAAAAGAAAUGGCAUGCCUUGAAAGACAAGAAGCUGAGAAUGAGAGCUAAAGGAGUCAACCCAGAAAUUUUAUUGGAGUGCACAGUAUAUUGGAAUCCAUUACGUGCAGCCAUAAGGACCUUUAUGCCGAAGGAGGAGAAAUUCAUGCAGGUGGAGCAAAAGUUUAAGCGACAGGUGUUCAUAACCAAUGUGAACCGACUGAAGGCUUGUGUUAUGGAUCUGGUGGAAGGUGGAAAGUUCAUAAAGUCUUGCUUUGAGUGGGAAUAUCCAAUCAGGAGUACAUUUGCAUUCAUUGGCUUCAUGGUGGGAACUUACUGCUUUGAGCCAUACAUGAUUCCCAUUAUCCUUUUGAUUGUAUACCUCAAGAACUACAUUGUAUUAUCAAUCGUGGGCACCAUGUCGCACCGUGAGGACGAAACAGAUUUUUCUGUAGAUGAUGAUGAAGUGGAUGAUGAUGAGAAAGAUAAGGAGGAAAAGAAGUCGCUCAAGGAGAGACUGCAAGCCAUACAAGAGGUGACUGCAACUGUCCAAAAUGCCAUAGGUGCCAUUGCAUCCCUCUUUGAAAGUGUCAAUAACACUUUCAACUUUUCCGUGCCAUUCCUCUCAUGGUUACUCAUCAUUGUACUGAUUGUGGGCACCUUCGUCCUGUACUACAUCCCUAUUCGCUACUUGGUGAUGAUAUGGGGUGUCAACAAGUUCACUCGCAAACUUAUCCGGCCACAUGCUGUCAUCAACAAUGAGCUUCUGGACUUCCUGUCUCGAGUUCCUGAUGACGAGACUUUGCGUGACUGUCGUGAGUUGCGGAUGGUGGCUCAGCUCCACGAUGACAAAAGAAGAGAUAAUCGGAAGAAGAAACAAAGCUAAUGAACGCCCUGCAUCAGGGAGUAUGUACUAGCAACAGUUAAUCAUCAUAUUGAGUAGAGGUAGCAACUAGAUACCAGAAACAUGUCUUCAUCCAGCAAUGAACAUGUUGACUCCCCUGCUCCUGUGAUGCUUCAACCUGAAUACUGAUGUGGAUAUCUGGCUUGCUGAGCCCCAAUAAAAGAGGAAAGAGGACUACUAGGUAAUGCCUGUCAUCAAGUCACAGUAUAUUCCAUCACCACUGUGACCACCAACCUUGUUCAAGCAUGGAAGGAUGGGAAAUAAAUCCCCAAUUGAUCUUUAUUAUUGGGUUGGUAAAUCUGCUAAGGGCAUUGUCAGGAACAUAAAGGCAUUGCUCUUGAUAAUGAAUUUGAAUGUCUCAAGCCAAUGUAAAGGAUGAGAGUGAGCCCUAAUACAUAAUUUUUAACAUAAUACCUAUUAUAACAUUAUAAACUUUAUAUAAAAAUGCAGAUUAGGGGGUGAGUAAAAUUUGCAGCAGUAACCAAAAAAAAGAGGAAUUAUUAAAAGCCAUAUGGUAAGACAGAAGAUGCAUAAUUUGAUGCAUAAUGAUAAUAUAUUUUGGCCAUUUUAAUAGCAGUAAUCAGUGAUAAACUUUAAACUCAAUUAUCUCAAAAGUAAGCUCGUGGGUUGUCCACCUCUUACGUACAAUGUCUCAAUUACUCAUUGUUAAUCAUUAUCAUACAUCUAUAUUAUGAUGUACAUUAAUAUAAUAUAUAUUAGAAAUUAGAUAAUUGAAUGUCCUCACUAAAAUGUUUUUUUAACGGACAUGUAUUCCCCAAUAUUGGAAAAAAAAAAAUGGACAAUAAAAACCCAAAGAGAACUUUCAUGUCAAGCAAGAUGUAGUGAUAUGAAUUAACUAGAUUCCUUUGAUUAAUUGUUUUUGUUGAAAGUAUGUGUAUGGACACAACUUGAAAUAUCACUGUCUGAGUUCUAUGAAGAACUCUGAAAAAGACGUCUUGAAAGUUACCUGAAUAUACAUGCCACUGGCAUGUGGUUUUCACCAUUCUUGUAGGCUAGGAAGGCCAUGUGAGCUAUUGAGAGCUCAAAUGUGGUUUACCAUUACUCAUAUUUUUUUGCAGUAAUACUGGAUAUCAAGUAGAAUAUCACUUCAUUCUCUAACGAUGUCAACAUAUUUUGUGUAAUUUUAGUUGAUAACAUUAUUGUGUACUUUGUAUAAAGUAGUUAAGAAUCUGAACUGGUUUUGGGUGGGAAGUUUGUUUGGUACUUAUUUUUAAUGUGCAUAAUAGCUAUAGGCUGACAUCCUCAAAUUUUCAGUAUCUAAAAUCCAGAGCAUUGGUGAGACUUGUGGUGCUUUGCAGCUGUUACCUAUUGCGAACACAUCAUUAAUUAAAAUGUUAUGUUUAAUAUUAGAUGCUAGAGGUAAGUACACAACAGAGUUGUGAAUGUUGGAAAUUUGGUUUUCCAUCUAAUGAAGUGUGAUGAAUAUUAUACUAGUAAGAGUAUUUGUUAUAUCUUUCAGUGCACCUUAACACACACACACACACACACACACACACACACACACACACACACACACACACACACACAUAUAUAUAUAUAUAUAUAUAUAUAUAUAUAUAUAUAUAUAUAUAUAUAUAUAUAUAUAUAUAUAUCAUAUGCCAUAUCAGUAUUUUAUAUAAUGAAAUUGCAAAAAAAGUAGAAUGAAUUAAAUGUAACAUGAACAUGAUUAAAUACAUUUCAUAUGCUCUUUUGAAACCAUUAAUUACUCAUUUUAUAUUAAUGUUAUUAAUAAAACCAUGAAUUAAAGAUUAAUUGUAGUAUAUUAUAAAAUGCAAUGAUAACAAAAGUAAAGAGGGAUAAUAAUGACCUGGUUUAUAUAACAUGGUAAUUAGUUUAAAAUGUAUUACAUCUCUAGAAAUUAUUAAUUUGCAAUUCUAGAUGAAGGCACAAAUUUAUAAUGAAAGUUUAAAUGAAUAAUAGCCAUACUAGCUUAUUUGAUUUAUUUUGAACAGACUCAAAUAUUGCAAUCAGAAUUAUGGGAAAAUGAAAAUACCUAUCUUUGUUGAAUUUUUAUUUUAAUAGGUUUUGAUUAUUUUUUAAAAUGCUUUUUGCAUCCUUAUAUUGUUGCAUCAACCAAAUAUCAUGUCCCUUAUGUGUAACUUUCAAGUAAAAGAUUCACAUGAAUAGUCUUUUUCCUAUUCGAAGCAAGAUUUGUUAAAUUUACAUUUUUUUUUAUCAAAUGGCCUCAGCUUCUUGUACAUUGAGGCAACCAUAAGAUGGCCUCAGCUUCUUGUACAUUGAGACAACCAUAAGAUGAGUGUGUGUUCCCGUGAGUGCUGUGUGUGGUGUCCCUAGUGGAGGAGUUGGUAGGACUUGUCCAUAGAUAUACUAUUGCAAAACUCAUGAUCUUAUAUUUUUAUUGUUGUAGCUGUGUGUUAUUGGUCACGCAGGGAGUUCCAUAGCAGACAUGCACAUGACAUACUUUAUAAACUAAGGCACUACAAUACCUGAUGUUAUUUACUUGAACACUUAUAAUUUGCUUAUAAUAAUUAUGCAAAAAAUAAUGAUUUCUUAAUGCAUAAGUAUAGAAAUUUUACAUUUUCUUGUAGCUUUAAAUUUAUGAUUCAGUAUUCAAAUAUUGAAGAAUGAAUUACAGUCUGCUAAUGUAAAAAUUGCAUUUUUAAUGCAUCUAAAUCUCUUAAAAUAUUUUGGAGCAUUUUAUUCAAAGCUGACAAAAGUAACAGCUUUUUAAUAGAUUACAAACUUCUUGAUUUAUUUAAUAUCUACAGUAUUACUGCCUUAGGUGGGGUGAAAAAUUUACUUUCCUUAGUUAACCUGCUUUUGUAUUAUCCUCUUCACAAGCACUUCCAUAAAUAUCAAGGAAAUAGAAUAUUACAUGUCUGUUUUGUAACUUGCUUGCAUGUUGCUUCAACACUUCCAAAAGUUUUGAUGGAGUACAUGAAUUGACUGUUUGGACCACAUCCAUUGACUCCUUUUCCUCCCAUCCAUGUACUUGUAGCCACCCAGGCAGAGUCUCGGUUGCCUGCUAACCACCGCUGCCAUUAUGGUGCCACAGACUGAGAAGAAACAAGGAUUGAUCUUACUCUUGUAAUUAUCUUAUGCUCUGAAUAAAUAUCUUUUGUAC
rnacentral:misc_RNA from 1 species